rnacentral:rRNA from 1 species
CCUACGGGUGGCUGCAGUCGAGAAUCAUUCACAAUGGGGGAAACCCUGAUGGUGCGACGCCGCGUGGGGGAGUGAAGGUCUUCGGAUUGUAAACCCCUUUCAUGUGGGAGCAAAUUAUAAAGAUAGUACCCCAGGAGGAAGAGCCGGCUAACUCUGUGCCAGCAGCCGCGGUAAUACAGCGGUCUCAAGCGUUGUUCGGAAUCACUGGGCCUAAGGCGUGCGUAGGCUGUUUCGUAGGUCGUGUGUGAAAGGCGCGGGCUCAACCCGCGGACGGCACAUGAUACUGGGAGACUAGAGUAAUGGAGGGGGAAGCGGAAUGCUCGGUGUAGCAGUGAAAUGCGUAGAUAGCGAGAGGAACACUCGUGGCGAAGGCGGGUUCCUGGACAUUAACUGACGCUGAGGCACGAAGGCCAGGGGAGCGAAAGGGAUUAGAUACCCGAGUAGUC